CGAACGGUAACAGGAAGCAGCUUGCUGCUUCGCUGACGAGUGGCGGACGGGUGAGUAAUGUCUGGGAAACUGCCUGAUGGAGGGGGAUAACUACUGGAAACGGUAGCUAAUACCGCAUAACGUCGCAAGACCAAAGAGGGGGACCUUCGGGCCUCUUGCCAUCGGAUGUGCCCAGAUGGGAUUAGCUAGUAGGUGGGGUAACGGCUCACCUAGGCGACGAUCCCUAGCUGGUCUGAGAGGAUGACCAGCCACACUGGAACUGAGACACGGUCCAGACUCCUACGGGAGGCAGCAGUGGGGAAUAUUGCACAAUGGGCGCAAGCCUGAUGCAGCCAUGCCGCGUGUAUGAAGAAGGCCUUCGGGUUGUAAAGUACUUUCAGCGGGGAGGAAGGCGACAGGGUUAAUAACCCUGUCGAUUGACGUUACCCGCAGAAGAAGCACCGGCUAACUCCGUGCCAGCAGCCGCGGUAAUACGGAGGGUGCAAGCGUUAAUCGGAAUUACUGGGCGUAAAGCGCACGCAGGCGGUCUGUCAAGUCGGAUGUGAAAUCCCCGGGCUCAACCUGGGAACUGCAUUCGAAACUGGCAGGCUAGAGUCUUGUAGAGGGGGGUAGAAUUCCAGGUGUAGCGGUGAAAUGCGUAGAGAUCUGGAGGAAUACCGGUGGCGAAGGCGGCCCCCUGGACAAAGACUGACGCUCAGGUGCGAA
rnacentral:rRNA from 1 species